CGGGACGUGGCGUAGUCUGGUAGCGCAUCUGUUUUGGGAACAGGGGGCCGCGUGUUCAAAUCACGCCGUCCCGA
rnacentral:tRNA from 1 species